ensembl:lncRNA
GACCUGGGAUGGGCAGAUUCCACCUGUAGCCUUCAGCACUAUUUUGACAAAAACCGCUCAAACGACAUGGUUAAUGCAGUGUUUUGGAAUUCAUUCAAAUGCUGUCUUAACUCUUGAGAAGGACAUUUGGAAUAUUUUUACAUAAUCAGGUUUUGGGAAAAAAAAAGUACUGGUGCUUCAGACGGGUUAACAUCGCAUCAGAGUGCUCAAGGAGGCCAAGGACGAGCUAUUCUUUUAAAGGGCUCCGUGCACAUUCCACUUGGAAAUUCCUGAGAAAACUGGAACAGAAUCAACAGCGGGGCGUUAUGUCUCAGACUCCCGAGGUGACCAGUCCUGGUGUCCUGGGCCGAAUCGGGAGCUGGUUCUCCCCUUGGAGAGAGAGGGGGAACCCCGGCAGUUCCAGUAACGAUGCAUCUAACUCCCCAUCGGACGGCCAGAGCCCCAAGUCAGAGGAACAGGGGGCCAAGGGGGAGCCUGUGAAAAGAGGGGAAAGGCAAGAGGAGGGACAAAAUUCCCAGUCUUCCAAGCGGAAUCUCUCUAAGGAUUUUAAGAAGACAGACGCCCGACAGUCUACCCACAGGGACAGCCUUCCCUCCGCAACCAGCAGCCACAGAGAGCCCAGAGGAGGAGGUCCUGGGGACAAGGAGGAGUGGCUGAUUGCCUCUCGAGUAGAGGAGAGGGAGGAGGCUCAGAGACGGAGCAGUGGAGCGUGCCAGAAUCCUGCCCCGGAGAGGAAUUCCGGCCCUCCAACACGUGUGCUUUCAUCUUGCCUUGAAAAGGGAGCGGCCUGUGAGGACUCUGACCGUGGGGAACACACCCAGGCCCUGCUCCGAGCCCCCAUCCAGGGAGGCAAGAGGCUGAAUGUGUACCUGGAGGAGACCAGUGUGACCCAGAUCGGAACUGACGCCCAGACAAAGAACCGGGUUCUCCAAACCACCACCACCCGGGUGAAGACAAACAUCCAGGGUGUCUCCAGAGCAAAGUCAUACAAGAGUGUUGACCUCUCAUCAGAGAACAUCAAGAGGACUGAGAAGCACACCCCCGGGGUCAAAUGUCAUAGCGGUUACGGCGCGCCGGUGGGAGUGCUGCGUAAGUCUCCAACAGAGACACAGAAUAGCUCACAGAUAAUCCCUGAGAAGUCAGUCACAGACAGAGUCACAGACAGAGUCACAGACAGAGUCACAGACACAAUGGGGAAAAAGAGGCGCUCCAGGAAGAGCUCCUCUGGAGACGGAGGAACCAGUUCUCAGGAGAACACACCCACCAAACUCCAGCCUGCUUCUACAUCAUCAGUCUACAACCUACCCACGCCCGGAGAUUCCACCCAUUUCUCCUCCAUUAAAGACAAACAGGCCUCAGGCAUAUCGCAGAGGGCCAAUAGUCCCUCCGUCUGUGGCCGGGGGCAAGACAACCCCCAGCAGGACCAAGACCAGCCAGUACACGCCACCCUGGUGACAGUGGUGGACGGGGAAGGGGACGUGGACUUGUCCAAUGACGCCAGCCCGUGCCGGGUCGAGAGGCGCACAGAGAGUGCGGAGUCCAAACGGCGGAGCAUGAAAGUGUCCCAUGGCGAGGUGAAGUUCUUUGCAAAGAAAGUGGUUGUCGACCCGGAGCAGCCUCUGAGUCCAGUGGAAGAUGGUGGACACGUAGCCCCGGGCUUUAGCAAUGAAAGAAUGGAAACAAGAAAGGAUUCAGAGGGAAUGGAUGAGGGGAAUCUGAAACCAGAGCAGAGACCAACUCAUCUGAAGAAAGUGGAUGAGGAAACCAAUACCCCUCCUCGACCUAUUGGGCGGAUCGCAGAUAGGAUCAGCCUGUUCGAGGGGAGGGCAACGGGGGUUUCCAGUCCCGGCAAAACGAAUCCGAGGAGCGCAAAUGUUUCUCCCGCUCGGAAAGUCACAGAGCGACUAAGGACAGAUGUAGAAAGAGAGGCAGAGCUUCCGAAUCAGCGGGCAAAGUCAUUAGAACGUGAAAGCGUCAGGUCCAGAUCGGCCCCUCCUAUCCAAAACAAAGUACUGAUGCCGGAGCGCAUGAAGAACUCGGCGGAGGCUCACAAGAUGGGGGACAAAACAACACUGCUCCAACUGACUUCUGGUGGGGCAGGAAUUACCAGAGAUGCUAAAUUUUCUCCUGCUCCUGCUGUGUUAAACAUAAAACUGGACAUUCAGGAUGAACUGGCCAGCGCAGAGAAUACUUCUACUCCAACCUCCCUGAAUGCAAGGAUAACAUCCAAACCACAGGCAGAUGCCUCCAAAGCAGCCGUCCUUCUGUUUCCUAAGGAAGAUGAGACAGACUCCAAAACAAAGGACAAAGAGGCUACUAAAACGGUGGACUUACCAAAGACACCUACCAAUAUUGACCUAAAUAUUUCAGCUAAAGGGGGGAGUGAUCCAAACUCAACCCCAUUGACCCCUCAGGUGUGCUCAACUAAUGCUGUCAGUCAACAAUCCAAAGCCCCCGGCAGGCAAAACUCCAGAUCCAAGAGAAGGAAAAGCAAAGGAGAAGAGUCAGCCAAUUUGAGCUGUGACAUUAGACAGGACGUGAGACACCCAGAGCAGGAGAUCGUCAACAGCAAACAGGAAGAGGCAGGCACAACAAAGAUGUCUGCUUCAUCUGAACACGGUGUUAAGGCCAUUACAUCACCAGAAGCUAGUCAAUCUGUAAAUGUUGAUUUAGAUUUUAAAAAGAAACUAGUCAGCGAAAAAAGCAAGCAAAAAGUCAGUAAAACUGAAAGUAAACAAGAGAAAAGCACAAGGCAGAAAAUGGACACUGCACCUGAGCACGAAGUAAUGACGCUCACAUCACCAAAAUCUAAUCAAUCUGUAGACAUUGAGUCAAAUGUAAAAAAACAAUCAGUCUGUGAAAACACCCAGCAAACAGCCAUUAAAUCUGAAAGUAAACCAGAGACACGCACAAAAAAGAAAAUGUCCACUGCUUCUGAACAUAAUGCAAAGAAGGUAACAUUGCCACAACCUAGUCAGUCUGUAGAUGUUGUCUUUGAUGUAAGAAAACAAUCAGUUGUUGAAAAUAACCUAUCUGAAAUUAAACAAAAACAGACAGGUAUAAAAAAGAAAAUGGUGGCUGCUUCUGAGUGGGAGGUAAAGAAGGUAAUGCCGCAACAACCUUGUCAAUCUGCAGACGGUGAAUCUGAUGUUAAAAAAACUGUCAAAUCAGUCAGUGAAGACAGCCAGCAAACUGCCUGUAAGACGGAAAGUGAACAACAGACAGGCACCAAAAAGAGGUCUGCUGUGUCUGAGCAGGAUGUAAUAAAAGUCCAAUUACCACUAUCUAUUCAGAAUGUAGAGAUUAAAACAAAAGUUGAAAAACAGUCAGUCAGCGAGAAAAGCCAGCAAACCCCCCAAAAAUCUGAAAGUAAACAAGAGACGGGCACAACCGCUAAAAUGG